UCGAAGCAGUAGAGUAGGAAAAUUUCGUCAGGGGGGCGCGAUGGGGUAAAGUAACACUUUCUCCACCGCGAGUCCUUUCUGCACCGUUAAAAUGUGAAAAAUAAACAGCGAAAUAGAGAUGCGGGUUUGCUGCUUUAGUGAGUGGUUGGAAAUAUGCACGUGGAGGGUGAUAGCGGGAUAUGCUUGUAAUGGUAGGAAGUGCAUGCAUAAGAAGUAUAGUACUUAUGUGUGCCUUUUUAUGCAUUAUGAUGCUAUUCCGUUUAGCAACCUCCACGUGCACAUUUUCAUCCCCCCCUUUAGCGGCGAACUCCACCUCGACAACAAUGUUUAACACAUCAAAUUUUUUCAUUUUGUGUAUAUUUCAUGAAGUGCGUUCCAUGUGCAAAUUCUGAAAGGGAAAUGCUUACCGUGUUAAACCAUAAAUAAUAAUGUAAGGAUCUAUAUAAAGUUUUAUGCAUAUAUAUGUAGGUGUUGACUUGGUUGUGCUUUUACGAAGUUAUUUGGUAGUUAAUUUUUCUCGUUAGCGAAAUCGUCACGUUAUUACUAUGCAUGCUAUGAAAUUUUAUGUACAUUUGAACAUUUUAUU